AUGAACGCUAGCUACAGGCUUAACACAUGCAAGUCGAGGGGCAGCAUGGUCUUAGCUUGCUAAGACUGAUGGCGACCGGCGCACGGGUGAGUAACACGUAUCCAACCUGCCGUCUACUCUUGGACAGCCUUCUGAAAGGAAGAUUAAUACAAGAUGGCAUCAUGAGUCCGCAUGUUCACAUGAUUAAAGGUAUUCCGGUAGACGAUGGGGAUGCGUUCCAUUAGAUAGUAGGCGGGGUAACGGCCCACCUAGUCUUCGAUGGAUAGGGGUUCUGAGAGGAAGGUCCCCCACAUUGGAACUGAGACACGGUCCAAACUCCUACGGGAGGCAGCAGUGAGGAAUAUUGGUCAAUGGGCGAGAGCCUGAACCAGCCAAGUAGCGUGAAGGAUGACUGCCCUAUGGGUUGUAAACUUCUUUUAUAAAGGAAUAAAGUCGGGUAUGGAUACCCGUUUGCAUGUACUUUAUGAAUAAGGAUCGGCUAACUCCGUGCCAGCAGCCGCGGUAAUACGGAGGAUCCGAGCGUUAUCCGGAUUUAUUGGGUUUAAAGGGAGCGUAGAUGGAUGUUUAAGUCAGUUGUGAAAGUUUGCGGCUCAACCGUAAAAUUGCAGUUGAUACUGGAUAUCUUGAGUGCAGUUGAGGCAGGCGGAAUUCGUGGUGUAGCGGUGAAAUGCUUAGAUAUCACGAAGAACUCCGAUUGCGAAGGCAGCCUGCUAAGCUGCAACUGACAUUGAGGCUCGAAAGUGUGGGUAUCAAACAGGAUUAGAUACCCUGGUAGUCCACACGGUAAACGAUGAAUACUCGCUGUUUGCGAUAUACUGCAAGCGGCCAAGCGAAAGCGUUAAGUAUUCCACCUGGGGAGUACGCCGGCAACGGUGAAACUCAAAGGAAUUGACGGGGGCCCGCACAAGCGGAGGAACAUGUGGUUUAAUUCGAUGAUACGCGAGGAACCUUACCCGGGCUUAAAUUGCAGAUGAAUUACGGUGAAAGCCGUAAGCCGCAAGGCAUCUGUGAAGGUGCUGCAUGGUUGUCGUCAGCUCGUGCCGUGAGGUGUCGGCUUAAGUGCCAUAACGAGCGCAACCCUUGUUGUCAGUUACUAACAGGUUCCGCUGAGGACUCUGACAAGACUGCCAUCGUAAGAUGUGAGGAAGGUGGGGAUGACGUCAAAUCAGCACGGCCCUUACGUCCGGGGCUACACACGUGUUACAAUGGGGGGUACAGAAGGCCGCUACCACGCGAGUGGAUGCCAAUCCCCAAAACCUCUCUCAGUUCGGACUGGAGUCUGCAACCCGACUCCACGAAGCUGGAUUCGCUAGUAAUCGCGCAUCAGCCACGGCGCGGUGAAUACGUUCCCGGGCCUUGUACACACCGCCCGUCACACCAUGGGAGUUGGGAGUGCCCAAAGCCGGUGAGGCAACCGCAAGGAGCCAGCCGUCUAAGGCAAGACCAAUGACUGGGGUG
rnacentral:rRNA from 1 species